UACGGGGGGGGCAAACGUUGUUCGGAAUUACUGGGCGUAAAGGGUUCGUAGGUGGCCAACUCAGUCAGACGUGAAAUCCCUCAGCUCAACUGGGGAACUGCGUCUGAUACUAGAUGGCUCGAGUGCAGGAGAGGAACGCGGAAUUCCAGGUGUAGCGGUGAAAUGCGUAGAUAUCUGGAGGAACACCGGUGGCGAAGGCGGCGUUCUGGACUGCAACUGACACUGAGGAACGAAAGCCAGGGGAGCAAACGGG
rnacentral:rRNA from 1 species